UCGGUGAAAUGUUUAACAGCUGCGGUAUUUUAACUGUACUAAGGUAGCAUAAUAAUUUGCCUUAUAAUUUGAGGCUAGAAUGAAUGGUUUGACGAAGGUUAAUCUGUCUCCACUUUAUUUUUUAGAAAUUAAUUUUCAUAGUGAAAAAGCUUGAAUUUUUUAAGGGGACGAGAAGACCCUAUUGAGCUUAUAAUUUUAUUAAUAUUUUAUAAAUAUUUAUGUUGUGUUAUAUAAAUUUUAAUUGGGGUGAUUAAGGAAUAAUUUUAUUGAUUUUAUAGUGUAACUUCCUUAGAAAACAUAUUGUUAGAUUAAGUAACCGAUUUAUAUAUAGGUUUAUAUUGGGUAUUGCUUAUAAUAUAGUUACCAUAGGGAUAACAGCGUAAUUUACUUAGAGAGUUCUUAUUGAAAAGUAAGAUUGCGACCUCGAUGUUGGAUUAAAGUAACCUUAAGGUGCAGAAGCUUUAUAAGGUAAAUCUGUUCGAUUUU
rnacentral:rRNA from 1 species